rnacentral:rRNA from 1 species
AUUGAACGCUGGCGGCAGGCCUAACACAUGCCAGUCGAGCGGAGCGGCGGACGGGUGAGUAAUGCCUAGGAAUCUACCUGGUAGUGGGGGAUAACGUCCGGAAAGGGGCGCUAAUACCGCAUACUAUCAGAUGAACUUAGGUCGGAGUAGCUAGUUGGUGGGGUAAGGGCCUACCAAGGCGACGAUCCUUCACUGGUCUGAGAGGAUGAUCAGCCACACUGGAACUGAGACACGGUCCAGACUCCUACGGGAGGCAGCAGUGGGGAAUAUUGGACCAUGGGCGAAAGCCUGAUCCAGCCAUGCCGCGUGUGUGAAGAAGGUCUUCGGAUUGUAAAGUACUUUCAGCGGGGAGGCGUUACCCGCAGAAGAAGCAACGGCUAACUCCGUGCCAGCAGCCGCGGUAAUAC